rnacentral:rRNA from 1 species
UACGUAGGGGGCGAGCGUUGUCCGGAGUUACUGGGCGUAAAGCGCACGCAGGCGGUCUGCUAAGUUUGGAGUGACAGUUGGUGGCUUAACUGCCAAAGUGCUUCGAAAACUGACAGACUUGAGGGCUUCAGAGGGACACGGAAUUCCGGGUGGAGUGGUGAAAUGCGUAGAGAUCCGGAGGAACACCAAAGGCGAAGGCAGUGUCCUGGGGAGUACCUGACGCUCAGGUGCGAAAGCCAGGGGAGCGAACGGG